rnacentral:rRNA from 1 species
GACGAACGCUGGCGGCGUGCUUAACACAUGCAAGUCGAACGGUGAAGGGACAGGUUUUUGCUGGUUCUGGAUGAGUGGCGCACGGGUGAGUAACACGUGAGUGACCUGCCCCUUUCUUCUGGAUAACCGCAUGAAAGUGUGGCCAAUACGGGAUAUUCUGCGCCUGCUGCAUGGUGGGUGUGGGAAAGAUAUUGUUUCGGUGGGGGGUGGGCUGGCGGCCUAUCAGGUUGUUGGUGGGGUGCUGGCCUACCAAGGCGGUGACGGGUAGCCGGCCGGGGAGGGUGGACGGCAAUAGAGGUGAGGAGCCACGGCCCAGCCUCCGACGGGAGGCAGCAGGGGGUAAUGGUGCACAGGGGGAGGAAGCCUGAUGCAGCGACGCCGCGGGAGGGAUGGAGGCCGUCGGGUUGUAAACCUCUUUCGGGAGUGAAGCAGGGCUGGCCCUUAUGUGGGUGGGUUGACGGUAGCUGGAGAAGAAGCGCCGGCUAACUACGUG